GAUGUUGGGUUAAGUCCCGCAACGAGCGCAACCCUUGUCAUUAGUUGCUACAUUUAGUUGGGCACUCUAGUGAGACUGCCGGUGACAAACCGGAGGAAGGUGGGGAUGACGUCAAGUCCUCAUGGCCCUUACGGGCUGGGCUACACACGUGCUACAAUGGCGGUGACAGUGGGACGCCAGGUCGCAAGGCCGAGCCGAUCCCCAAAAGCCGUCUCAGUUCGGAUUGCACUCUGCAACUCGAGUGCAUGAAGGCGGAAUCGCUAGUAAUCGUGGAUCAGCAUGCCACGGUGAAUACGUUCCCGGGCCUUGUACACACCGCCCGUCACGUCACGAAAGUCGGUAACACCCGAAGCCAGUGGCCCAACCCCUUGUGGGGGGGAGCUGUCGAAGGUGGGAUCGGCGAUUGGGACGAAGUCGUAACAAGGUAGCCGUACCGGAAGGUGCGGCUGGAUCACCUCCUU
rnacentral:rRNA from 1 species